AUGGAGACCAAGAUUGUGGUCAGAAAUUUGCCGGAGCUGCCGCGAGACGUAUUGAUGGAUAUCUUUGCCCUCCUGGAGAUCCCGGACCUCAAGCGUGCGGGCUCCGUCUGCUCCUCAUGGCGCUCUGUUUAUACCAGCCUAUGCAGCCAGCUUGAGCUGUACAAACGGCCCCAGACGCCUUGCCUUCUUUACACCUCUGAAUCUGCCGCUGACAACGUAGCUUGUCUCUACAGCCUUGCCGAAAAGCGGGUCUACAGUCUAACUCUUCCGGAUCCACCGCACCAGGUAUCUGAUUGGGUCCUCACACGGCUGGCUGAUCACCGCUGCCGAGAAGUCCGAGCUCCACCUUCUCAAUCCGAUCACCUGUCAACAGAUUGCUCUCCCGUCAGUGAUCACCAACGAGAGGGUGAAGCCGGUCUUUGA
rnacentral:rRNA from 1 species